rnacentral:rRNA from 1 species
UACGGGGGGGGCAAGCGUUGUUCGGAAUUAUUGGGCGUAAAGAGCUCGUAGGCGGUUUGUCGCGUCUGCUGUGAAAACUGGGGGCUCAACCCCCAGCCUGCAGUGGGUACGGGCAGACUAGAGUGCGGUAGGGGAGAUUGGAAUUCCUGGUGGGGCGGUGGAAUGCGCAGAUAUCAGGAGGAACACCAAUGGCGAAGGCAGAUCUCUGGGCCGUAACUGACGCUGAGGAGCGAAAGCAUGGGGAGCGAACAGG